rnacentral:lncRNA from 1 species
GCAUCUAGUUUAAUUUUGCUUAGCCGAGUAAUUUAUUUUCCUUUUUAUUCAGAUUUCCUUCAUUUACUUUGUAAUCAAUGUCUCGGCUUAUAUUGAAUAAUAAAGAAGUCCUUUGUUCGAAUUAUUUUGUCUCCACUUGUUUUUGUAUUAUUUUUGUCUACUUGAGAAAAAUCAAAGAACAGGUAAAAAAACAUGUGUGGGGGAGGAAUCGCCAUCAAGGUAAUCUUACAUAAAUUAUUUUUAUUCCUCCUAUGACAAUUUAAAUCUGAUUUAUAUGAUAAAAAUAUUGCUAAUAAAAUAAAAAGAUAAAAAAUAAAUGAAUACUCCAUUUCCUUUCUGCCUUUGAAAUUAAACAUGCAUACACUUUAUUCCUCGCCAAAAGCCUACCAUUUAUGAGCAACUUUUUAUAAGGACCCCAUUGCUUCUAAGUAAUUGAGAUUUGCGAUAUAGAAGGAUGAUUUGAAACUUGCUCACUUAUGCAAUGAACUUGGGGAUUUAUUUGAUAAAAUUAAAAUUGCAAAAAGUCUGCUCUUCAAUGAUAGAUAAUUACCUACCAAGGCCAAAUAUAUUACCCUUGAUAAAAAUUCUACAAAUAGCUGCUUAUUUGUUUUGAGUUGUGUCAAGUCUUGAUGACCCUUGUUAAGAGAUUUAUCAUGCUCUCAAGAUCAAGAUCACGUACACUCCAGAUACAGAUAUAUGCCGUUUCUACACUGGGAGUGCGCAAAAACAUGCCUUACAUGUCCACCAUACAAACACUCCAUGUUUUAAAGAAUGAUCUCUCUAGUGCAUCUUAGAUAAAGACAUGGGCUAUGCAAAAUUAUAUAAAAAAAUGGGCAAGUGCCCACUGUAGAAUUAGGGGUAUAAAAAUACCGACCUGAAAAAAAAUAUAGGACACAUGAAGGUCCUAAAUAUACAAAAAAAAAGAUGAGCACAUGAAGGCUCACAAGAAAAUAAAAGAGUUAUGAUAGCCAUGUCUAGAAAUACUUGAUGAGAUCAUAUCAACCAACGGAGUUGUUUAUACCAUAUACCACACACUUGCACAUCUUGAUCUAAGGGUAUGACACUUCUCUUCUUGGAUCCGAGAUUUGACUCGACAAUACAUACAAGGUAAGUAUGCAUUCUCCUUGGUCCAUACCCAAAACUCCAAAU